AAAGCCUCAAGCACAAUUUUUCCUGCAAUAAUUUCCAUUAAGACAUGACAAAAAUCAGAUAAACCAUAACAGCAACAACCUGCAGUGCUGCCGCAAGUUUUGCUAAAUACAAUUAAUGGUUCUCCGAAUUCUACAUCUAAGAGCAGAGGAAGAAUGGCACUGAACCUUCUGUGUUGGCACAGGAAAUGCCAACGGUCAAGCUAAU